rnacentral:piRNA from 1 species
UCCAGGUGAGAGAAUGUUGUAUAGAUG